rnacentral:rRNA from 1 species
GCGGACGGGUGAGUAAUGCCUAGGAAUCUGCCUGAUAGUGGGGGACAACGUUUCGAAAGGAACGCUAAUACCGCAUACGUCCUACGGGAGAAAGCAGGGGACCUUCGGGCCUUGCGCUAUCAGAUGAGCCUAGGUCGGAUUAGCUAGUUGGUGAGGUAAUGGCUCACCAAGGCGACGAUCCGUAACUGGUCUGAGAGGAUGAUCAGUCACACUGGAACUGAGACACGGUCCAGACUCCUACGGGAGGCAGCAGUGGGGAAUAUUGGACAAUGGGCGAAAGCCUGAUCCAGCCAUGCCGCGUGUGUGAAGAAGGUCUUCGGAUUGUAAAGCACUUUAAGUUGGGAGGAAGGGCAUUAACCUAAUACGUUAGUGUUUUGACGUUACCGACAGAAUAAGCACCGGCUAACUCUGUGCCAGCAGCCGCGGUAAUACAGAGGGUGCAAGCGUUAAUCGGAAUUACUGGGCGUAAAGCGCGCGUAGGUGGUUUGUUAAGUUGGAUGUGAAAUCCCCGGGCUCAACCUGGGAACUGCAUUCA